UACGAAGGGGGCUAGCGUUGCUCGGAAUCACUGGGCGUAAAGCGCACGUAGGCGGAUCUUUAAGUCAGGGGUGAAAUCCUGGAGCUCAACUCCAGAACUGCCUUCGAUACUGGAGAGCUCGAGUCCGGGAGAGGUGAGUGGAACUGCGAGUGUAGAGGUGAAAUUCGUAGAUAUUCGCAAGAACACCAGUGGCGAAGGCGGCUCACUGGCCCGAUACUGACGCUGAGGCACGAAAGCGUGGGGAGCAAACAGG
rnacentral:rRNA from 1 species